UACGUAGGGGGCUAGCGUUGUCCGGAUUUAUUGGGCGUGAAGAGCGUGUAGGCGGCCAGGUAGGUCUGCUGUGAAAACUCGAGGCUCAACCUCGAGACGUCGGCGGAAACCAUCUGGCUAGAGUCCGGAAGAGGAGAGUGGAAUUCCUGGUGUAGCGGUGAAAUGCGCAGAUAUCGUAAGGAAGACCAGUGGCGAAGGCGGGUCUCUGGACAGUUCCUGACGCUGAGGCACGAAGGCCAGGGGAGCAAACGGG
rnacentral:rRNA from 1 species